rnacentral:rRNA from 1 species
GACGAACGCUGGCGGCGUGCUUAACACAUGCAAGUCGAACGGAAAGGCCCUGCUUGUGUGGGGUGCUCGAGUGGCGAACGGGUGAGUAACACGUGAAUAACCUGCCCUUCACUUUGGUAUAACUUCAGGAAACUGGGGCUAAUACCGUAUAGGAGCUCCUGCUGCGUGGUGGGGGUUGGAAAGUUUCGGCGGUUGGGGAUGGACUCGCGGCUUAUCAGCUUGUUGGUGGGGUAGUGGCUUACCAAGGCUUUGACGGGUAGCCGGCCUGAGAGGGUGACCGGCCACAUUGGGACUGAGAUACGGCCCAGACUCCUACGGGAGGCAGCAGUGGGGAAUAUUGCACAAUGGGCGGAAGCCUGAUGCAGCAACGCCGCGUGCGGGAUGACGGCCUUCGGGUUGUAAACCGCUUUCGCCUGUGACGAAGCGUGAGUGACGGUAAUGGGUAAAGAAGCACCGGCUAACUACGUG